AGAACUUAGCAGAGAUGCUUUGGUGCCUUCGGGAACUCUGAGACAGGUGCUGCAUGGCUGUCGUCAGCUCGUGUUGUGAAAUGUUGGGUUAAGUCCCGCAACGAGCGCAACCCUUAUCCUUUGUUGCCAGCGGUUAGGCCGGGAACUCAAAGGAGACUGCCAGUGAUAAACUGGAGGAAGGUGGGGAUGACGUCAAGUCAUCAUGGCCCUUACGAGUAGGGCUACACACGUGCUACAAUGGCGCAUACAAAGAGAAGCGACCUCGCGAGAGCAAGCGGACCUCAUAAGGUGCGUCGUAGUCCGGAUUGGAGUCUGCAACUCGACUCCAUGAAGUCGGAAUCGCUAGUAAUCGUGGAUCAGAAUGCCACGGUGAAUACGUUCCCGGGCCUUGUACACACCGCCCGUCACACCAUGGGAGUGGGUUGCAAAAGAAGUAGGUAGCUUAACCUUCGGGAGGGCGCUUACCACUUUGUGAUUCAUGACUGGGGUGAAGUCGUAACAAGGUAAGCGUAGUGCU
rnacentral:rRNA from 1 species